GGGCCGAAUCGAAAACACAUAUAAUUACUUUGGACCUAUCCAAAAUCGAUAUGAAAAUGAAAUCAAACCGGACUACUUCAGAACUAUCCAAAAUCGGUAUGAAAAUGAAAUUAACCAGCACGUUAACAAUGGCAAUUUGAAGACUCUAAGCGCUUCGAAAACAAAUAAAAAAGACAAGGGCGAUGCGAUAAAA